rnacentral:ribozyme from 1 species
ACUCGACCGGGCGAGUAUAAACAGGAUUCAGGCCCGGUGCGUCUCCCGCGGACGGGUUUGCCGAUAGCCCGCGCCGCCGGAGGGUAUCA